rnacentral:rRNA from 1 species
CCUACGGGUGGCAGCAGUGAGGAAUAUUGGUCAAUGGACGAGAGUCUGAACCAGCCAAGUAGCGUGAAGGAUGACUGCCCUAUGGGUUGUAAACUUCUUUUAUAUGGGAAUAAAAUGUUCCACGUGUGGGAUUUUGUAUGUACCAUAUGAAUAAGGAUCGGCUAACUCCGUGCCAGCAGCCGCGGUAAUACGGAGGAUCCGAGCGUUAUCCGGAUUUAUUGGGUUUAAAGGGAGCGUAGGUGGAUUGUUAAGUCAGUUGUGAAAGUUUGCGGCUCAACCGUAAAAUUGCAGUUGAAACUGUGUAACUGGAGUACAGGAGGGGCAGGCGGAAUUCCUGGUGUAGCGGUGAAAUGCGUAGAUAUCAGGAGGAACACCGGCGGCGAAGGCGGCCUGCUGGACUGAAACUGACGUUGAGGCUCGAAAGCGUGGGGAGCAAACAGGAUUAGAUACCCCUGUAGUC